rnacentral:rRNA from 1 species
CAUGGGGGGGUCAAAAAUGCAGUCGUACGGGGCUUCGGUAGUUAGUGGCGGACGGGUGAGUAACACGUGGGAACGUGCCUUUAGGUUCGAAUAGCUCCUGGAAACGGGUGGUAAUGCCGAAUGUGCCCUUCGGGGGAAAGAUUUAUCGCCUUUAGAGCGGCCCGCGUCUGAUUAGCUAGUUGGUGAGGUAACGGCUCACCAAGGCGACGAUCAGUAGCUGGUCGAGAGGAUGACCAGCCACACUGGGACUGAGACACGGCCCAGACUCUACGGAGGCAGCAGUGGGGAAUCUUGCGCAAUGGGCGAAAGCCUACGCAGCCAUGCCGCGUGAAUGAUGAAGGUCUUAGGAUUGUAAAAUCUUUCACCGGGGACGAUAAUGACGGUACCCGGAGAAGAAGCCCCGCUAACUUCGUGCCAGCAGCCGCGGUAAUACGAAGGGGGCUAGCGUGCUCGGAAUUACUGGGCGUAAAGGGCGCGUAGGCGGAUCGUUAAGCAGAGGUGAAAUCCCAGGGCUCAACCCUGGAACUGCCUUUGAUACUGGCGAUCUUGAGUAUGAGAGAGGUAUGUGGAACUCCGAGUGUAGAGGUGAAAUUCGUAGAUAUUCGGAAGAACACCAGUGGCGAAGGCGACAUACUGGCUCAUUACUGACGCUGAGGCGCGAAAGCGUGGGGAGCAAACAGGAUUAGAUACCCUGGUAGUCCACGCCGUAAACGAUGAUUGCUAGUUGUCGGGCUGCAUGCAGUUCGGUGACGCAGCUAACGCAUUAAGCAAUCCGCCUGGGGAGUACGGUCGCAAGAUUAAAACUCACAUGAAUUUGACGGGGGCCCGCACAAGCGGUGGAGCAUGGUGGUUUAGUUCGUAGCAACGCGCAGCAUCGUUACUACUGUUUGACAUGCCUGGGACCGUCCGAACGGGCAGGAAGCGCCGUGGUCCAU